rnacentral:rRNA from 1 species
UACGGAAGGGGCAAGCGUUGUUCGGAAUCAUUGGGCGUAAAGGGCGCGUAGGUGGCUCUGUGUGUCUACCGUGAAAGCGUACGGCUCAACCGUAUUUUGUCGGUAGAAACUGCAGGACUUGAGGCUGGGAGGGGCUGGUGGAAUUCCCUGUGUAGCGGUGAAAUGCGUAGAGAUGGGGGAGAACACUCGUGGCGAAGGCGGCCAGCUAGACCAGUUCUGACACUGAGGCGCGACAGCGUGGGGAGCAAACGGG